rnacentral:lncRNA from 1 species
AAAACAAUCACAAGACAAUAAUACAUUUAUAUACAAUAAUGAGCUCAAAUGAGCAAAAGGAAAUUGGCAUAAACAUAAAAUACGCGCUCAAGUGAGCAAAAUGAAAAGCAAUAUGAAUAAAUGAGCAAGAAAUAAAGUGCAUUAAAGUAAAGGGCAAGAAAUUAAAUGCUCAAAUUAAAGUUAGUAAUUAGUGAAGUUAUG